GAGUUUGAUCAUGGCUCAGAUUGAACGCUGGCGGCAGGCCUAACACAUGCAAGUCGAGCGGUAGAGAGAAGCUUGCUUCUCUUGAGAGCGGCGGACGGGUGAGUAAUGCCUAGGAAUCUGCCUGGUAGCGGGGGAUAACGCUCGGAAACGGACGCUAAUACCGCAUACGUCCUACGGGAGAAAGCAGGGGACCUUCGGGCCUUGCGCUAUCAGAUGAGCCUAGGUCGGAUUAGCUAGUUGGUGAGGUAAUGGCUCACCAAGGCGACGAUCCGUAACUGGUUUGAGAGGAUGAUCAGUCACACUGGAACUGAGACACGGUCCAGACUCCUACGGGAGGCAGCAGUGGGGAAUAUUGGACAAUGGGCGAAAGGCCUGAUCCACGCCACUGCCGCGUGUGUGAAGAAAGGUCGUUCGUAGUUGUUAAAGGACACCUUUAAGUUUAGGGUAGGGAAGGGACGAGUAAAGUUAAUAACUUUAGUCUGUUUUGUACGUUA
rnacentral:rRNA from 1 species